UAUUUACAUGCACACUACGCCUGAGUUUUCAAGAGCUUACAAAUGUUAGCUCUAGACCUCUCUAGCUACUACCCAAGCAUGUUAAAAUAAUAAAGCAGACAGUCUGCUGAAAAAGACGUCCUAGAAAAGACCACAAGCGGACCACCAAAGCUUUACAUGGUAUAACAACGUGGGCUUGGCUUAAAGAAAAAAAAAAAAGAGAUUUUGACGAGCACCCAACUGCCCUACCUGCUUUCUGUUUGGGAGAAAGAGAGAAAUAGAAAGUGAGCUCUAAUAUAAUUUUGUGAUUAUUAGAGCUUUAACGGGCCUAAUAAUUAUGAUUAAGUUAAAAAUUAUAUGGAUGAUGAUAAUUAUUUUGGGCGUUACAUGUCGUGCAUGACCACUAAAGCUUGGCAAAGAUCUGAAUGUCUGGCUUGGAGACCUAAAUAUUCUGUUGUUAAGCGGUCAUUCUCCCUCCAUAAUACGUGGCACUGCCCUAGAACUGAACCCAACCGCUUCUUCAGCUCCCGGUUCUGUAUUUCUAACUGGUUCACUUGUACCGUAAGGUUCUCUAAGUGCUUCUUCUUUCUCCAGCGGGACCGUCGGGCUGACUCCCGGUUUGAUAUCAUGCGCCUUCGCUUUCUCUCAUCCACUGAGUAUAUCACCCGGUUUGAGUUCGAGUUUGAGUUGGAAUUCGACCCCUCCAAACCAGAGUUUGGGCUAGGGGUGGGCAAGUCAGAUAUGGAUAAGAGUUCUUGAAUUUCACUAGCAGUGAACCCGGUUUCAAGAAGUGGGUUCUGGAGUUGAACCGCAUCUUGGGCAAAGAGCAUGGUGAUGAGUCGGGUGAGUGUAUGAGCGAAACAACCGGCAAUUGAUUAGGUUCUUUCAAUUUGAACAGGAGGGAGGAAAGGAGGAGAAAAGGGG
rnacentral:misc_RNA from 1 species